rnacentral:rRNA from 1 species
AUGCAAGUCGAACGAGCGAGAGAGAGCUUGCUUUCUCGAGCGAGUGGCGAACGGGUGAGUAACGCGUGAGUAACCUGCCCUAGAGUGGGGGACAACAGUUGGAAACGACUGCUAAUACCGCAUAAGCCCACGGUACCGCAUGGUACUGAGGGAAAAGGAUUUAUUCGCUUUAGGAUGGACUCGCGUCCAAUUAGCUAGUUGGUGAGGUAACGGCCCACCAAGGCGACGAUUGGUAGCCGGACUGAGAGGUUGAACGGCCACAUUGGGACUGAGACACGGCCCAGACUCCUACGGGAGGCAGCAGUGGGGGAUAUUGCACAAUGGGGGAAACCCUGAUGCAGCGACGCCGCGUGGAGGAAGAAGGUUUUCGGAUUGUAAACUCCUGUCGUUAGGGACGAUAAUGACGGUACCUAACAAGAAAGCACCGGCUAACUACGUGCCAGCAGCCGCGGUAAAACGUAGGGUGCAAGCGUUGUCCGGAAUUACUGGGUGUAAAGGGAGCGCAGGCGGGAAGACAAGUUGGAAGUGAAAACCAUGGGCUCAACCCAUGAAUUGCUUUCAAAACUGUUUUUCUUGAGUAGUGCAGAGGUAGAUGGAAUUCCCGGUGUAGCGGUGGAAUGCGUAGAUAUCGGGAGGAACACCAGUGGCGAAGGCGGCCUACUGGGCACCAACUGACGCUGAGGCUCGAAAGUGUGGGUAGCAAACAGGAUUAGAUACCCUGGUAGUCCACACCGUAAACGAUGAUUACUAGGUGUUGGAGGAUUGACCCCUUCAGUGCCGCAGUUAACACAAUAAGUAAUCCACCUGGGGAGUACGACCGCAAGGUUGAAACUCAAAGGAAUUGACGGGGGCCCGCACAAGCAGUGGAGUAUGUGGUUUAAUUCG